rnacentral:tRNA from 3 species
ACUAGGAUCUGCUAACACAUAAGCAAUUGGGCCCAUACCCCAAAAAUGAUAAUGUAUAUCUCCUAGUA